GAUGAACGCUGGCGGCGUGCCUAAUACAUGCAAGUCGAGCGAACAGACGAGGAGCUUGCUCCUCUGACGUUAGCGGCGGACGGGUGAGUAACACGUGGAUAACCUACCUAUAAGACUGGGAUAACUUCGGGAAACCGGAGCUAAUACCGGAUAAUAUAUUGAACCGCAUGGUUCAAUAGUGAAAGACGGUUUUGCUGUCACUUAUAGAUGUAUCCGCGCCGCAUUAGCUAGUUGGUAAGGUAACGGCUUACUAAGGCAACGAUGCGUAGCCGACCUGAGAGGUGGAUAGGAGACACUGCGACUGAGACAUGGGCCAGACUCGUACGGGAGGCAGCAGUAGGGAAUCUUCCGCAAUGGGAGAAAGCUUGACGGAGCAACGCGGGGUAGGUGAUGAAGGUCAUCGGAUCGUGAAACUCUGUUAUUAGGGAAGAACAAAUGUGUAAGUAAGUAUGCACGUAUUGACGGUACCUAAUCAGAAAGCAACGGCUAACUACGUG
rnacentral:rRNA from 1 species